GUCAAGCAUGACAUCCUUUCUAUAGACCUGAGGGGAAAUUAUGAGACAUGGAAAUUGUUGCCAAAUGCGAGGACAUAAAGUUGUCUAUUUGCAAAAUUACGAUGAAGUGGCACAAGGACCCUAAGUUGAGAUUGCAAAUGAAAAGAUUGUAUUUGCAGCGUUGAUGCAUUGUUGAGCCAGAGACGCAAAAGGAAGGAUGUAUUCAAUCUCAAGAUCUGUGAGCUUUCACUUCUUAACUUUAUUAUUAUUAAUUUUGUUUGCUCUUUGAAAUUUGAAUGUAUUAGUUUUUUAAUUUUAUUGGGAUUAGUUUACCUGA